rfam:Aciduliprofundum boonei T469, complete genome.
GGGCCCGUGGUCUAGGUGGUUAUGACGUCACCCUGACACGGUGGAGGUCCCCGGUUCGAAUCCGGGCGGGCCCA